rnacentral:rRNA from 1 species
AGCAGCCGCGGUAAUUCCAGCUCCAAUAGCGUAUAUUAAAGUUGUUGCAGUUAAAAAGCUCGUAGUUGAAUUUCGGGAUUGACACAUCGGUCGUGCCUUAAGGGGUAUGAACUGGUGUAGUCAAUUUCUCACCUUCUGGAGAACCGCGAUGCCCUUAAUUGGGUGUCGCGGGGAACCAGGACCUUUACUUUGAAAAAUUAGAGUGUUUAAAGCAGGCAUUUUGCUUGAAUACAUUAGCAUGGAAUAAUAAAAUAGGACGGCAUGAUUCUAUUUUGUUGGUUUCUAGGAUCACCGUAAUGAUUAAUAGGGAUAGUUGGGGGCAUUAGUAUUCAAUUGUCAGAGGUGAAAUUCUUGGAUUUAUUGAAGACUAACUACUGCGAAAGCAUUUGCCAAGGAUGUUUUCAUUAAUCAAGAACGAAAGUUAGGGGAUCGAAGACGAUCAGAUACCGUCGUAGUCUUAACCAUAAACUAUAGCCG